ensembl:snoRNA
AAGCAGUUCUCUGUAGCAGACUAUUAAAACUGUCACAGUUUGGGCUUGUUAUAGCAAGGAAGUCUAACCUAGUCUGGUAUUGUCUCCUCUGUGAGACAAGCCAUUAUACAGAUCUAAACAGU